UUACUGACAGUUUCCGAAACAGAAGCGAGACAUCGGCGACGUGAGGGGUAAAAAGGGCCGGGGAGGACGAGGGCGGCGGCGCAGUACUCACCGUGGGCUCGUCUCGGGCGGAGAAAGGCUGUAGGAGGUUCGCCGGCACGCGGCUCGGAGCUCUAGCGGACUUCAAUGGCGACCGGCCGGAAAAUUUGCCAGAAUAGGUGAGGAUUGGCGGGGAAGGUAAAGGAGGAGAUGGGGAAGGCUCUCAUGGAGGGAAUCGGAGAGGGAGGGGGUGUGUCUCGUGCAUUGCGGCCGGCGGCAGAGGGAGCUCUGCUCGGCCCGAGCUGGGAGAAGAGAUAAAGGAGGAGGGGGAGGGGAAUGGCCCGCUCGCCGCGUCCUAACCGCUGUCGGGCCAUUGGUCCGGCGCAUCCUCGCCGCGUGGCUGCUGUCGGAGCGGGAGGCACCUGCUCGCUCCUCGCCCUGCUGCACACCUGUGUGAGCUCGGGCGCGAGCGGUACAUCGCGUGCCAAUCGGCCUCCCGCGGCCCAGCACUCUCGCCCCCGCCGCCGAGCGCGCCCUGCCGACCGCCGUCGUCCGCUGAUCCUUGCACUUGCUUUCGCCUGCACUAAUCCAAUCGGAUCCAUGCCAAUUGCUGCACCUGCAACUGCACUGCCUCCAAUCGGAUCGGCUCCCUCCCCCUCAGGAAAUUUAGCCAUGGAAAAUCACUGGCAAGAUCAAAAAGACAUUAUUGUCGUCAGAAAAAGAUCAAAAAGGCAUUCCAGUAUCCGCUACUUUUUACCAGCUUAAACUCCUUGUACAAAUAUCACUAUUUCUCUGUCAUGCUUAAGUUGUUCUCAUUAUUCUGUAUAUAAUGGAGACAAGCUCAAUGGUUACCUCCAAUCAUCUGAAUACAUAGUCUGAAUGCGGUGUUCACAUGAAAA